CCUACGGGUGGCAGCAGUGAGGAAUAUUGGUCAAUGGACGAGAGCCUGAACCAGCCAAGUAGCGUGAAGGAUGACUGCCCUACGGGUUGUAAACUUCUUUUAUAUGGGAAUAAAGUGUUCCACGUGUGGCAUUUUGUAUGUACCUUAUGAAUAAGGAUCGGCUAACUCCGUGCCAGCAGCCGCGGUAAUACGGAGGAUCCGAGCGUUAUCCGGAUUUAUUGGGUUUAAAGGGAGCGUAGGUGGAUUGUUAAGUCAGUUGUGAAAGUUUGCGGCUCAACCGUAAAAUUGCAGUUGAAACUGGCAGUCUUGAGUACAGUAGAGGUAGGCGGAAUUCGUGGUGUAGCGGUGAAAUGCUUAGAUAUCACGAAGAACUCCGAUUGCGAAGGCAGUUCACUGGACUGCAACUGACACUGAGGCUCGAAAGUGUGGGUAUCAAACAGGAUUAGAUACCCGAGUAGUC
rnacentral:rRNA from 1 species